GGCCAAGUUUUUAAGGGCGCACGGUGGAUGCCUUGGCACCAGGAACCGAUGAAGGACGUGGGAGGCCACGAUAGUCCCCGGGGAGUCGUCAACCAGACUUUGAUCCGGGGGUUUCCGAAUGGGGAAACCCGGCAGUCGUCAUGGGCUGUCACCCGCUGCUGAACACAUAGGCAGUGUGGAGGGAACGAGGGGAAGUGAAACAUCUCAGUACCCUCAGGAAGAGAAAACAACCGUGAUUCCGGGAGUAGUGGCGAGCGAAACCGGAUGAGGCCAAACCGUAUGCGUGUGAGACCCGGCAGGGGUUGCGCAUGCGGGGUUGUGGGAUCUCUCUUUCACAGUCUGCCGGCUGUGAGACGAGUCAGAAACCGUUGAUGUAGACGAAGGACAUGCGAAAGGUCCGGCGUAGAGGGUAAGACCCCCGUAGUCGAAACGUCAGCGGCUCGUUUGAGAGACACCCAAGUAGCACGGGGCCCGAGAAAUCCCGUGUGAAUCUGGCGGGACCACCCGCUAAGCCUAAAUAUUCCCUGGUGACCGAUAGCGGAUAGUACCGUGAGGGAAUGGUGAAAAGUACCGCGGGAGCGGAGUGAAAUAGUACCUGAAACCGUGUGCCUACAAGCCGUGGGAGCGUCGGAUGCAGCUUGCUGUAUCUCGUGACUGCGUGCCUUUUGAAGAAUGAGCCUGCGAGUUUGCGGUGUGUUGCGAGGUUAACCCGUGUGGGGAAGCCGUAGCGAAAGCGAGUCCGAACAGGGCGUUUCAGUAGCACGCUCAAGACCCGAAGCGGAGUGAUCUAGCCAUGGGCAGGUUGAAGCGGAGGUAAGACUUCGUGGAGGACCGAACCCACCAGGGUUGAAAACCUGGGGGAUGACCUGUGGUUAGGGGUGAAAGGCCAAUCAAACUCCGUGAUAGCUGGUUCUCCCCGAAAUGCAUUUAGGUGCAGCGUCGUGUGUUUCUUGCCGGAGGUAGAGCACUGGAUAGGCGAUGGGCCCUACCGGGUUACUGACCUUAGCCAAACUCCGAAUGCCGGUAAGUGAGAGCACGGCAGUGAGACUGUGGGGGAUAAGCUCCAUGGUCGAGAGGGAAACAGCCCAGAGCAUCGACUAAGGCCCCUAAGCGUACGCUAAGUGGGAAAGGAUGUGGAGUCGCACAGACAACCAGGAGGUUGGCUUAGAAGCAGCCACCCUUGAAAGAGUGCGUAAUAGCUCACUGGUCUAGUGAUUCCGCGCCGACAAUGUAGCGGGGCUCAAGCGUACCGCCGAAGUCGUGUCAUUGCAGCAUAUAGCCCCAACGGGUGCUGUGAUGGGUAGGGGAGCGUCGUCUGCCGGGUGAAGCAGCACCGGAAGGUAGUUGUGGACGGUUGACGAGUGAGAAUGCAGGCAUGAGUAGCGAUACAAACGUGAGAAACGUUUGCGCCGAUUGACUAAGGGUUCCUGGGUCAAGCUGAUCUGCCCAGGGUAAGUCGGGACCUAAGGCGAGGCCGACAGGCGUAGUCGAUGGAUAACCGGUUGAUAUUCCGGUACCCGCUGUGAAGCGUCAAACAUCGAGCAUCGUGAUGCUAAGGCCGUGAAGCCGCCCUGAUCUCUUCGGAGUUGAGGGGAGUGGUGGAGCCGCCGAACCAAGCGGUUAGUAGGUGAGUGAUGGGGUGACGCAGGAAGGUAGUCCAUCCCGGGCGGUGGUUGUCCCGGGGUAAGGGUGUAGGACGCGAGGUAGGCAAAUCCGCCUUGCACAUAGUCUGAGACCUGAUGCCGAGCCGAUUGUGGUGAAGUGGAUGAUCCUAUGCUGUCGAGAAAAGCCUCUAGCGAGUUUCAUGGCGGCCCGUACCCUAAACCGACUCAGGUGGUCAGGUAGAGAAUACCGAGGCGUUCGGGUGAACUAUGGUUAAGGAACUCGGCAAAAUGCCCCCGUAACUUCGGGAGAAGGGGGGCCACACUCGGUGAUCGGAUUUACUCCGUGAGCUGGGGGUGGCCGCAGAGACCAGCGAGAAGCGACUGUUUACUAAAAACACAGGUCCGUGCGAAGCCGUAAGGCGAUGUAUACGGACUGACGCCUGCCCGGUGCUGGAACGUUAAGGGGACCGGUUAGCUUGGAUUCGUCCAGGCGAAGCUGAGAACUUAAGCGCCAGUAAACGGCGGUGGUAACUAUAACCAUCCUAAGGUAGCGAAAUUCCUUGUCGGGUAAGUUCCGACCUGCACGAAUGGCGUAACGACUUCUCGACUGUCUCAACCAUAGGCCCGGUGAAAUUGCACUACGAGUAAAGAUGCUCGUUUCGCGCAGCAGGACGGAAAGACCCCGGGACCUUUACUACAGUUUGAUAUUGGUGUUCGGUUCGGCUUGUGUAGGAUAGCUGGGAGACUUUGAAGCUCAUACGCCAGUAUGGGUGGAGUCGUCGUUGAAAUACCAGUCUGGUCGUGCUGGAUGUCUAACCUGGGUCCGUKAUCCGGAUCAGGGACAGUGUCUGAUGGGUAGUUUAACUGGGGCGGUUGCCUCCUAAAGAGUAACGGAGGCGCCCAAAGGUUCCCUCAGCCUGGUUGGCAAUCAGGUGUUGAGUGUAAGUGCACAAGGGAGCUUGACUGUGAGACCGACGGGUCGAGCAGGGACGAAAGUCGGGACUAGUGAUCCGGCGGUGGCUUGUGGAAGCGCCGUCGCUCAACGGAUAAAAGGUACCCCGGGGAUAACAGGCUGAUCUUCCCCAAGAGUCCAUAUCGACGGGAUGGUUUGGCACCUCGAUGUCGGCUCGUCGCAUCCUGGGGCUGGAGUCGGUCCCAAGGGUUGGGCUGUUCGCCCAUUAAAGCGGUACGCGAGCUGGGUUUAGAACGUCGUGAGACAGUUCGGUCCCUAUCCGCUGUGCGCGUAGGAAUAUUGAGAAGGGCUGUCCCUAGUACGAGAGGACCGGGACGGACGAACCUCUGGUGUGCCAGUUGUUCUGCCAAGGGCAUGGCUGGUUGGCUACGUUCGGGAGGGAUAACCGCUGAAAGCAUCUAAGCGGGAAGCCUGCUUCGAGAUGAGUAUUCCCACCUCCUUGAGAGGGUAAGGCUCCCAGUAGACGACUGGGUUGAUAGGCCGGAUCUGGAAGCCCAGUAAUGGGUGGAGGUGACCGGUACUAAUAGGCCGAGGGCUUGUCCUC
rfam:Streptomyces collinus Tu 365, complete genome.